GAGUUUGAUCCUGGCUCAGGAUGAACGCUAGCGGCAGGCUUAACACAUGCAAGUUGAGGGGUAGAAAUAGCUUGCUAUUUUGAGACCGGCGCACGGGUGCGUAACGCGUAUGCAAUCUGCCUUUUGCAAAGGGAUAGCCCAGAGAAAUUUGGAUUAAUACCUUAUAGUAUAACGAUGUGGCAUCGCAUUGUUAUUAAAGAUUUAUCGGCAAAAGAUGAGCAUGCGUCCCAUUAGCUAGUUGGUAAGGUAACGGCUUACCAAGGCUACGAUGGGUAGGGGUCCUGAGAGGGAGAUCCCCCACACUGGUACUGAGACACGGACCAGACUCCUACGGGAGGCAGCAGUGAGGAAUAUUGGACAAUGGGGGCAACCCUGAUCCAGCCAUGCCGCGUGUGUGAAGAAGGCCUUCGGUUGU
rnacentral:rRNA from 1 species